rnacentral:miRNA from 1 species
UUAUAAAUCACCCAUAGAACUUGUUAAACUACAGAUUUUGAUUCACCUGGUAUGGGUUUGGAAUUCUGCAUUUCUAACAAGUAGCCAUGCUGGUUUCUAU